AGCUUUGCGCAGUGGCAGUAUCGUAGCCAAUGAGGUUUAUCCGAGGCUCGAUUAUUGCUAAUUGAAAAAUAAUAAAAAAUAAAAUCUACAUGACAGUGGAUUUUUUGUUGUUUAUUUAUUUAA
rnacentral:snRNA from 1 species